rnacentral:tRNA from 1 species
GGCGCAUUCGUCUAGAGGCCUAGGACACCUCCCUCUCAAGGAGGAGACCAGGGGUUCGAAUCCCCUAUGCGCUA